ACUGCUCAGUAACACGUGGCUAACCUGCCCUCAGGACGGAGACAACCCCGGGAAACUGGGGCUAAUCCCCGAUAGAUGAAGAGCCCUGGAAUGAGCCUUCAUCCAAAAGACGAUUAGGCUAUGCUUCUAGUCGUCGCCUAAGGAUGGGGCCGCGACCGAUCAGGUUGUUGGUGAGGCAACGGCUCACCAAGCCUUUAACCGGUGCGGGCCGUGAGAGCGGGAGCCCGGAGAUGGGCACUGAGACAAGGGCCCAGGCCCUACGGGGCGCAGCAGUCGCGAAAACUUUGCAAUACACGAAAGUGUGACAGGGCUAUCCCGAGUGCCAUCCGCUGAGGAAGGCUUUUACCCAGUCUAGAACGCUGGGGGAAUAAGGAGAGGGCAAGUCUGGUGUCAGCCGCCGCGGUAAUACCAGCUCUCCGAGUGGUGUGGAUGUUUAUUGGGCCUAAAGCAUCCGUAGCUGGCUGAGUUAGUCCCUUGUUAAAUCCACCGAAUUAAUCGUUGGAUUGCGGGGGAUACUGCUCGGCUAGGGGACGAGAGAGGCAGACGGUAUUUCCGGGGUAGGGGUGAAAUCCUAUAAUCCCGGGAAGACCACCAGUGGCGAAGGCUGUCUGCUAGAACGCGCCCGACGGUGAGGGAUGAAAGCUGGGGGAGUGAACCGGAUUAGAUACCCGGGUAGUCCCAGCUGUAAACGAUGCAGGCUAGGUGUUUGGACGGCCACGUGCCGUUCUAGUGCCGCAGGGAAGCUGUUAAGCCUGCCGCCUGGGGAGUACGAUCGCAAGAUUGAAACUUAAAGGAAUUGGCGGGGGAGCAC
rnacentral:rRNA from 1 species